rnacentral:rRNA from 1 species
UAGGGAAUUUUGGGCAAUGGGCGAAAGCCUGACCCAGCAACGCCGCGUGUGGGAUGAAGGCCCUCGGGUCGUAAACCACUGUCAGGAGGAAAGAAAAGUCGGCCGGAUAAUACUCGGUCGACCUGACGGUACCUCCAAAGGAAGCACCGGCUAACUCCGUGCCAGCAGCCGCGGUAAUACGGAGGGUGCAAGCGUUGUUCGGAAUUACUGGGCGUAAAGCGCGUGUAGGUGGUCGAGUAAGUCGAAUGUGAAAGCCCCGGGCUCAACCCGGGAAGUGCAUCCGAAACUGCUCGACUAGAGUCCCGGAGAGGAAGGCAGAAUUCCCAAUGUAGGGGUGAAAUCCGUAGAUAUUGGGAGGAAUACCGGUGGCGAAGGCGGCCUUCUGGACGGUGACUGACACUCAGACGCGAAAGCGUGGGGAGCAAACAGGAUUAGAUACCCCGGUAGUCCCUGAG